UAACGGAGGCGCCCAAAGGUUCCCUCAGAAUGGUUGGAAAUCAUUCGCAGAGUGUAAAGGCACAAGGGAGCUUGACUGCGAGACCUACAAGUCGAGCAGGGACGAAAGUCGGGCUUAGUGAUCCGGUGGUUCCGCAUGGAAGGGCCAUCGCUCAACGGAUAAAAGCUACCCCGGGGAUAACAGGCUUAUCUCCCCCAAGAGUCCACAUCGACGGGGAGGUUUGGCACCUCGAUGUCGGCUCAUCGCAUCCUGGGGCUGUAGUCGGUCCCAAGGGUUGGGCUGUUCGCCCAUUAAAGCGGUACGCGAGCUGGGUUCAGAACGUCGUGAGACAGUUCGGUCCCUAUCCGUCGCGGGCGCAGGAAAUUUGAGAGGAGCUGUCCUUAGUACGAGAGGACCGGGAUGGACGCACCGCUGGUGUACCAGUUGUUCUGCCAAGGGCAUCGCUGGGUAGCUAUGUGCGGACGGGAUAAGUGCUGAAAGCAUCUAAGCAUGAAGCCCCCCUCAAGAUGAGAUUUCCCAUUCCGCAAGGAAGUAAGAUCCCUGAAAGAUGAUCAGGUUGAUAGGUCUGAGGUGGAAGUGUGGCGACACAUGGAGCUGACAGAUACUAAUCGAUCGAGGACUUAACCAUUUU
rnacentral:rRNA from 1 species